rnacentral:rRNA from 1 species
UACAGGGGGGGCAAGCGUUGUUCGGAAUUACUGGGCGUAAAGGGCUCGUAGGUGGCCAACUAAGUCAGACGUGAAAUCCCUCAGCUUAACUGGGGAACUGCGUGUGAUACUGGAUGGCUUGGAUUUGGGAGAGGGAUGCGGAAUUCCAGGUGUAGCGGUGAAAUGCGUAGAUAUCUGGAGGAACACCGGUGGCGAAGGCGGCAUCCUGGACCAAUAUUGACGCUGAGGAGCGAAAGCCAGGGGAGCAAAACGGGG